GUCMCWRCCUCUAGCUGUUUCAUKGGCCCUCUAGMKRCRKGCUSKRRMKSCCKCCWSUGKGAUGGAUAUCUKCMSAAUUCGCCCUUAGAGUUUGAUCCUGGCUCAGAACGAACGCUGGCGGCGUGCUUAACACAUGCAAGUCGAACGUGAUCCAGAGCUUGCUCUGGUGAAAGUGGCGCACGGGUGAGUAACGCGUGGAUAACCUGCCCUGGUAUCUGGGAUAACAUCUCGAAAGGGGUGCUAAUACCGGAUAAGCCUACGGACUCCUCGGAGUCUGCAGGAAAAGGAGGCCUCUAUUUAUAAGCUUCCGUAUCAUGAUGGGUCCGCGUACCAUUAGCUAGUUGGUGGGGUAAUGGCCUACCAAGGCGACGAUGGUUAGCUGGUCUGAGAGGAUGAUCAGCCACACUGGAACUGAGACACGGUCCAGACUCCUACGGGAGGCAGCAGUGGGGAAUUUUGCGCAAUGGGGGAAACCCUGACGCAGCAACGCCGCGUGAGUGAUGAAGGCUUUCGGGUCGUAAAGCUCUGUCAGAGGGGAAGAAAUGAAACGUGCUAAUAUCACGUUUUCUUGACGGUACCCUCAAAGGAAGCACCGGCUAACUCCGUGCCAGCAGCCGCGGUAAUAC
rnacentral:rRNA from 1 species